rnacentral:lncRNA from 1 species
CCAGACUGAGCUUUCCCAUAUCUGAUCUAGUCCAGACUCACUCAUUAGCCUGCAAGCAUGUCACAGCUUCUGCUAACCUGAGACAGGUCCUUUAUGAAGCCCUGGAUGGCCUAGAACUCACAGAGAUCUGCUUGUCUCCGUCUCCAGAGUAUUGGGAUUAAAGAACAAAGCAAAUCAUGAAUCAAGUUACUUCUCAGACACACUGGUGGAAAUAUCAGGUAAGCAGGUUUCAGCAAAGAGGAGAAAUGCCUGCUGGAGCCUCAGAGGCUAUCUGAUGACCUUAGUUUUUGGGUUGGUGGGAGCAAGGGUCUGUUUGUACAUUCCAGAAUGUUGGGUAAACCAAGAUAGGCAAUAAAAAGGCUGUUAAGGAGGCUAAAAUAGCACAAGAUAAUUUGUCUCUGAACUUGUGACAUUCCAACUUUGCACAGUCAUUGUUUUUCGUCAGAAUAGGUGUAGCUUUUUCCAAGAAGUUUUGGUUGACUGUGAGAUCUAAGGAUUGUAAGACUCAAAUACCAAUAACAUGUGUAGCUGAAAGUACAUGUGGAGUGUAGCCCUAACCAUAAAUGCCAAUUAUGCUAAAGUUAGCCUAUGUAUUAGCCUGCUAGGAGUUUCCUCACAGAUACCACUCCCCGCCCCAUGGUGAGGUGUUAAGCAACAGAACCGUAUUAUCUCAACGUUUUUAGACUUUUUCUCUAUCAGUCUGCAAAUGGUCUCUCCUGUGCGUCCGUGUUUCAAUCCUGUGCUUCUUUGAAAGACACCUGGGAAGCCAGGUAGUGGUGGCUCACACCUUUGAUCCCAGCAUUU